CAUACCAUAAAAUAAUGUUUCAUCUUGUGUCAAUUAGUUUUGGAUUGAAACUUAUGAAGUGAUGGUAAAAUUAAUCUGAUGCAAUGCCUGGAUUAAUCUGUAGGUGAUAGGAGGAGGCAGGAUGGCGAUAAAGGCUGAUUUGAUCUCUGCAGUUAAAAUACGUACUCCCUCUCUAGAUAAAUACUUGUAGUUGAGGAAAACUAGUCUAGUUUUUUUCAACUACAAGUAUUUAGAUACAGAAGGAGUAGCAUGCAUGCAUGCACCGUGUGGUAUGGCAACACACUCUGAUUUGAUCUUUGACAGGAACAUUGCUAUAUCUUGGCCUUACACUUGCUGUUAGCGCUGCAUGCUGGGAGCUCUGUCCCCCCUUGCCAACUUGUCGCCCAUCUAGAGUAGAGUAGAGGAUGGGGGCUAAUCUCAGAUUACUUAGGGCACAGGCACAACCAAGAUUUGCAAAUUGAUAUAGUGCGAAAUCGUGAUCAAGUAAAGUCCACUCCUGCAAAAAUAAUUAGAAUUCUGCACAGGACGUCGAUUUCAUUAUGUUCAGACAAAUAUAAAUUCCUUUUCCUCACAUUUUUUCUUUUUGAAAAUAAAUCAUGUAAAGACAAUAGUUCAGCUACCAAACAUGUAAAGGCAAUAGUUCUGCUACCAAACAUGAGCUACUUGUAACCUUACAGCCAGGUGUUUUGACCACUGAAGAGACUCUGUCAGUUAAUAACGAUCAUGAGCUACUUGUAAUCUUAGUACUCCCUCCGUUGAAGGGAUUUUAUCUUCUUGUUGCAUGAGCAACCCUCGCACUAAAAAUCUCCAUCUCAAGGUACAUUUCGUUAAUAUAAGAUUAAUCGAGCACCCAAAAUGAUUAGUAUGUACUCCCUUCGUUCCUAAAUAUAAGACUUUUUAAAGAUUUCACUAUGGACUACAUACGGAGCAAAAUGAAUGAAUCUACAAUCUAAAAUAUGUCUAUAUACAUCCGUAUGUAGUUCAUAGUGAAAUCUCUAAAAGACCUUGUAUUUAGGAACGAAGGGAGUAUGUGGUUGUGCAAUCACAAACAUAAAUGGACCCAAUUUACACAUGGUCACCAUAUUAGUUAGUCAUAUGCUCCUUAUCCUAUAUACUCCCUCCGUCACAGUUUAGAAGGCAUGCACGUGUAUCUAGGUUAUCAAUUUGAAUUAUAUAAAAUAUACUAUUUAACAUAAAAAUCAUAUCAUUAGAAAAUAGAACAUCUAAAGUUUCUAAUGAUAUAUUUUUUGUAAUAUAUGCCUCUCAUUAAGUUGGUCAAAUUGACGACCUAGGUACAUGUGUCGGACUUGUAAACUGAGACGGAGAGAGUAUUUGCCACUGAAACAUAUCAGUGUGGAAGCACACUGUGAUGUCCAAGCACACCCAAAGACUACACUGCUUGUUCUGUCCAACAAAUGACAAACUCAUGGCCCCACACAAAUCUUAGCAUUGCAUGUUCUGUGCUCAUUGCCAUGUCCCUUGCCAACCUGUCAGGAUAGCUGCUGUACCUAUCCUUGCCAAUCUUUGACUUGUUCUCUUUUCUUUCUCCCUCGCCCCUAUAAAUCCAUCAGAUUAGCACCACCACCACCACGACAUCAGUUCAUUCACAAGCCAAAGCGGCAUUACCACACCUAGCCAAGAAAGAAACACAAGGAGGAGGAAACACAGCCAUGGUCAGUGCCAAGAGACUUGCUCAGAUGGCAAAGAAGUGGCCAAGGAUGGCGGUCAUGGUCAUGGGGAGGAAGAGGCUCACCCGGACCACGACAGCAGCGGCGAAAGGAUCCAUCAUAGAGAAUGAGUGCUGCACAACGUUGUCGCCGUCGGCGGCGAAAGGAUCCAUCAUAGAGAAUGAGUGCUGCACAACGUUGUCGCCGUCGGCGGCGAAAGGAUCCAUCAUAGAGAAUGAGUGCUGCACAACGUUGUCGCCGUCGGUGUCAAUGAAGGUCCACUGUGUGGUGUACACUGCCGACAGUGCGCGGUUUGAGGUUGCCGUAGUGCACUAGUGCUAGCUGUAGCCCUGUUUUCCUUUUUAAAGAGAGCAAAUAGCUGUUCCUAGCUACUGAAGAUUCAGUCAUGUAGUGAUUGUUUACCGUUCUACCCCUUUCGGUGAGCUGAUGUGGAAGGAGAACAUAUUACCCCUUUCGGUAAUCAGUUCACAUUUGAUUUGAAAUUUCCAAAGUUUUCAAACGUUUGGAAAAUUCAGAUUGCCAAGCAAGUCGGGAGCCGAAGACUGAAAAGAAAAAAUGGUACCUCACUGUUCAAUAGCAACCAGAAAGGGACCAAAUUUACACUUGUUCCUCAUCAAUCAUAUGCCUCCAAUCUUAUUCUUAGCCACUAAAACAGGUUAGUACGGCAGCAAUCUGUGACGUCCAAGCACACCAAAGACUAGACUGCUGCUAGUAACGGCUGAUAUCCAGCCAAGUAGCAAACAAAUCGUUAUUUCUCUUAUAAAAGAGAAAUAUCUUUCAUGCAAUAGUUCAGGUCAAUUGUUCUUGUUUUUUUUCCUGUAGCGAGUAGUAAAUAAUUUGAACCUGCUCUUAUUUUCCCUGCAGUCGUUGAGGUUGGCUGUUCUUACUGUUUUCUGUAGUGGUUGUUCUUUCUUUUUUCUGUAGUGGUUAAUAUUCUGUUUGUACAAUAGUAGAUCGUCAAAGCCAGUAGUAAUUAAUUGAGACUGCUCUUGUCUUCCCUGCAGUAGUUCGGUCUGACUGUUCUUAAUGCUUUCUAUAGUGGUGCAUUUGCUUAUGUACUUAGUAAGAAAUAGUAACUGUUUUCUCUGUUUGUGGGUUGCAGGUUCCGAGCAUUCAGGUUGCGUGAUCUGAGGUGUGAUCAUUGAGGUGGGGCAGCAAAGAUAAUCAACAGUCUGUAUGCUAAUGGGAGAACGUCCCUUUAUUAAUUUUGGGUUCUGGGUUAUGUUUAGUGAAUUUUAAAAAUAGUGGGCCUGGUAAAUUGGCACAACUUGCCCUAUGAGUCAAUACAGACCCGUGUUCUGUGUUGAAUGCAUCUUUUGUGAGAAAAAAAGAAUUGAGGGAUAAUUAAUCUUAUUUAGCUGAAUUCUCAGCUUGUUUAUAACUUCUUCAUUCACUAUUUCAAGACUGAAACCAAGAUUACAUCUGCAGAAUUUGUUUCGAGUCCUCCUGGAUGGCUGGUGUUGUAAAAACUUAGUGGUAGUUUGCAACACACAGCAGCAGUGCCUCACGGUGCAGCAGCUUGAAGAGGCGGCCAAUGGCGCACCCGUGAGGCAACAAUAAACAUGUCUGAUGCCAACACCCAAGGUCAGCUUCGCACAAUCCCUCUCUCUGUAUAACUGCAAGCUUGUGUGAUGUGCUCUGCUUCCUCCUCCCUUUUUUAAUUAAUGGAUCUCUUACUGGGCAAAGCAUGUUCUUUAGGUUGGCAGCACAAAUUAUAUAGCUAAAUUACCUUCAUCAUAAUUAAAUAAUUGUUGCCACUACCAAUGAUCCAUUCGACGACCCUGAUUAUCUUCUGUGAGCUUACUUUGUUAAGCUCCUCUUAUGGCAGGUGGGAGGACCAUUCAACUGACCAAGUACUGUAUGAUGGUAAUAUAAAAUCUGAGAUUAAGUCAUUCAUUCGGCCUGCUGGUUGGGGAGGUACGGUCUUUCUUGCUCCUCUUCUGUUCGAUAAAAAUGCUUGUGAGCUGAAAGACUCUUGUUUGCUUGUUUCCCUUCCUCUCCAGGUUACUCGACAUAUGCCUCGUUGGUCAGCAAGGUUAGAUGUGUUAUAAUUGUUGUGCUUGAUUACUUCUUGCUGCAUCUUCCAUUAGCUUGUGAAAAAUUUGUCCUUGUUUGAUUAUGUUUGCGCUGGUGAUAAUCUUCUGUUUGCUGCUUGGGAAAACACGUGUGCCCCCUGUUUUCCGUGCACUGCAACAUGUUGUGUGUGCAAGAAGUACCAGUUGCAGCUCAUUAUGAAUAUAGUGCCUGCAGCCGUGCUUCAUAAGCGGAUUAGGUGGUGGUUACUACCUACUUACAGAGGACGGUUUGGUGGGUAGAGCUUUAGGAAGGCCUACUGGAACUAAUUAUUUCUUACCUCUUACCCCUUGUUUAGAUGGAAGUUGUUAUUUGAAUUUGUUGUGAGUGGUUAAACUGAGCUGACUCUGAAUGUGCUUUAUGCAAUUAAACUGAUCAGAGCGGUUUAUUUUUGCGUGUCAACUCCAUAUCAAUUGACAGACGAUCACCGAGUCAUGUGAAGCUCUAUAUGUGCAUCAUCUUUUAGUUCUAAGCAACUAUACUGAAUAGGCUUAUAGAGUAUAUGUCUGUUCCUUAAAAAGGGGAUAUGGAGUAGUACGCGGAAGGGGAUCCAGGAGCGGAUCCAGGAGCAAUAUACAUGUAUGUAUAAGCUUAGUACUACUCCAAACCGACGUAGAAUGUUUUUGCUAUGGAUUUUACAAGUUCUGUAGGUUGAGCAUUUUCUGUGAUUUUCCUGAUAAAUCAAUUGUUAGAAUGAAAUCGUUUAUACAUAGGAAAGUCUAGCCUUAGUCUGACAGUAUGACAAGCAAGUAAGUUAAACGAAUAUGGCCAUGUUUCUUCGUAGCAAAUUAAUCUCUCUUUCUCUCAUCUACAGACAGGUCAUGCAUGGCUAACAUCAUAAAGCAUCAACAGCCAGCAACAAGCAGCGACAUGAACAAAGCAGCCAGUGGCAACAAACAACAAUUAACAUCAGCAGCACGCAGCCAGCAACAUGCAGAGGCGAUUUCUCACCCUGUCGGAAGUGGCGAGGUCGGACAGAGCAGAGCAAUGAGCUCGGGACUGCGACUAUGCCGGUCAACGUCAAGGAAGAAGAAGGAGGGACCAGCGGCUUCGAAUCUGCGGUCCAGAGGAGAUGCAGACAAUGCGGAGUUUGUUCGGUGAGGAGGAUGAUUGCGGCGUCACAGGGGCGGCCUCGGCCCAAGAGGUUCCUGCACGCCAGUGCCCGGAAUCACCAUUUAAGGAACGACAAGAGCAGCAAUGGAGCUAGGGGAACUACCUCGGAGUAAGAACGCACCGGAAAAACAAGGUGGUUCAUGGCACGGCGUCCAGCAGGUGUGAAUGUCAGAGCCAGAGGCAUGGACUUCGAUCUGGACUGAGGGCCAGCGUAUCCCGCUAAUUCCUGAAGCUGGUGUUGCAAUGGCGACCGGCGCCGAGCUAAACGACAAAGGGGAUCCAGGAGAAGAGGAAAUGAAGUGAGGAGGGAAGUAGCAGAAAAUGAGAAGUGGCGGGGGUUUGCGGGCGCGUGGCCCUGCGAGAUGGUGACAUGGAUGUGGUUGUUCAGGGCAUCUUCAACAGGUUGUUGGUUAGUUUGUUGAUAAAAUAUGUCAUGUCAUCAGCCAACACCUUAACAUACAACUACUCCAAUGAAUUAUAUCUAGUUUGACCAAUAAGAUACGAGGUAAUAAAUAAGGUGUUCUCUUAUUCUACAUUGGAGCUUGUGCAAGGGUGUUGGUUAGUUUACAUACAACCUUGUUCUUUUUCCUUAUUUAUUGUAUGAC
rnacentral:lncRNA from 1 species